rnacentral:rRNA from 1 species
UCUUAUCUACAUGCCUACAAUGUUGAUGCACUGGAUCCCGUAAGAACUCUACAGUUAAGUGCACUUGGGAUAAAGUAUUACUGGGAUGGGUGACCUCCCAGAAAGUCCUAAUGUUUUACAUGCC